CCUACGGGAGGCAGCAGUAGGGAAUCUUCCACAAUGGACGCAAGUCUGAUGGAGCAACGCCGUGUGAGUGAAGAAGGGUUUCGGCUCGUAAAGCUCUGUUGUUAAAGAAGAACGUGGGUGAGAGUAACUGUUCACCCAGUGACGGUAUUUAACCAGAAAGCCACGGCUAACUACGUGCCAGCAGCCGCGGUAAU
rnacentral:rRNA from 1 species